rnacentral:lncRNA from 1 species
AAUGACCCACAUUUUUUUUUCAGCAAAGAGGGAAACCCUAGAUUUGCUGCCUCCCUUCAGUGUCAUCAUGUGCCCACAUUCAACCGCCACUACCCACGUUCUCCACCACCUCACACCACGCACCCACGCACCAUGUCCAAGCCACGUUUGCUGUGCACAAAAACAGUUGUAAAUGGCUAUAUAAAACCACGAAUAUGUAAUGUUUUGGAGUUUUUUUUCCACAGAAAUUGAACACAGAUUGAAGAAAUCAUUCUCGCAAAUAUACAAAAAUCAAUAAAAGUAGUAGAAUACAUUUCAAAGGUUUAUCACUGUUUUUUUUUCCCAAUUUUAUUUUUUUUCAUUCAAAUUCGCAUUUUAAAUACGAAAUAUAAGAGUAAAUGGGAGAAGCUCACCGGAGUUGCGUCGCACACGCACCACUGGAGGGCCCUGCUUCAUUGGUCGCAAGCGGUUUUCGGAGAAGUCGAAGGCUUGGCAUACAGCGAGGAGCAGAGGGGAGAGCAAAAGGGGGGGUUCUCAAAAUUUAGGGUUGUUUUUUAAACAAAGAAUAAAAUGGUUAAAAAAAUGGGUUAAGUAAUUGGAAUAAAAUAGCACCGUUUGGUGCUGGAACCACCCAUUUUGGCUCAAAG